rnacentral:rRNA from 1 species
GAGAAGGGAAGGAGACAUGAUGAGGAUGAGGAUGAGGGUGAUGGUCAAGGAGCGGUCGACGACGGCGGCGGGGGAAGGACGCCUGAAGCAGGAGGAGGGGCGAGGGGGGCUAGGGGUGGUCAUGAUCAUGAGGGGAGGGGGUCGUUAGGUAGGAGUAAGAACGGGCGUGCGUAGGGGAGGGGAAGGUAAGUAACGAGGCAGGACCCUCCUAGCUAACUAACGGGCCGCGAGGAAACUGACCGAGCGAGCGGCCCACCCAACUGGGGUUCACCUUACUAGCCGGUCACUAGCUAGGUAGGCGUUUCGAAUUCGGUUCCCUAGCCCUGCGUGCCUGCCCGCCUUCGAUACCUAUUGUAGCCGCCGCCGCCGCACGACGCCGUGUCGUUGUCGUCGGCGGAGAGCGCGUACAGGAAGAGGCCGCUCCUGCCGGCGCCGCGCGUCCGGGCCCGGCGGGGGCCGCGGCCCCGCCUGGCCGGCUACCAGUGGAAGCGCGCGGCGUGGGUGAGCCCGGCGAUGCACUCGAUGAGCGCGCUGCUGGAGCUGUCGCUCGACCGGUUGUCGCUCGACCGCCCGCCGCCGCCGCCGAAGAGCGGCCUGGCCCUCCUCAAGGAGUCGAUGGUGCACGUGUAGGGCCAGUGCGGCCUGUUGGUCGGGUACCUGGGCCGGUAGAGCCGCGCGCAGCUCCUCGUCAUGCAGAGGUUGAGCGAGAAGUGCCCCCCGAAGUUGUCGCAGUGGGCGCGGGUGGAGUACCUGUUCCAGUAGCUGAGCCUCCGGUCGGUGGGCGUCUACCGGCCGAGGUUCCCGAGGAGGACGCGGCAGUUGCCGACGCUGCCGUUCCAGUACUCGCUGCUCGCGCCGGUCCUGUAGGACGGGACGCUCACGCUGAAGUUCUAGACGCGGCUCACGAAGCCGCUGCGGCAGUUCUUGCGGCCGCGCGAGACGGGGCCGACGUUCCUCGGGAUGUUCCGGUGGCUCUACCUCCUGGACCAGCCGCCGCCGCGGCUGCCGCCCCGGUCCGGGUGCGAGAGGGACGGGGGCGGCGGGCCGCCGCGCGGGCGCAGGUCCUACCUCUCCGCCGACAGCUAUCAGUCCAGCGUCUUCCGGUACUGUUCCUCGGUCUGGCCGCUGACCCUAGUGUUGGCGACCGACAAACUCUGGUUCCCCUGGAUACCCAUACCCUUACGGUAGACCGGUUUCCUCUUACUACGGCUGUUACCGUUACCGCCGCCACCUCCGCCCGACCCGCCUUGGCUGCCCGUCGGCCGCCUCAAGUGGUCGUUCGGUACCUCCGGCGAGUGAGCCUUCGAGUUCUAGGGACGACCGUAGGAGUCGGGUAUGUCCGAAGAACAAGAGUAGGCGAACCGGCAAGAACCAGACAAGGAAUGUACCUCUUAAUUCGUAUUCUUACUUCUACGUUACACCGAUACCCCGUACAGACAACAAACACUUGAGACCAAACCGAAAAGAACCUAGAACCUGGUCGACGGUUUCGACACGGGACAAUUGGCUCGUUGACUGGAACGACAGGACUUUCUGUUCAAACUCUGGGGUUGCGGCAGUUUAGGCUUACCUUCUAGACUAGACGGCCCCGAACUAUAUAUACACAGGUGACGACUAGGUCUCUUUCUUGGAGGUAAUUGAUGUCGUUUGUGGUAAGACAGGUAGGAACGACGACUGAUAGGACAACUCUUCGAAAGAACGAUACAAAGACUACUGCCUCCGCGAGAGGAAUGUAAACUUCGUUACCGACUUCGACGAUCGAAACGAUUGUACACCCAAGGAAAGACAGCGUUCGUGCCGUAGCUCGGAGCGUUAGGACUCUCGAUGAAGUCAGAUUUCUCCCUGGGAAUGUUCUUGUUCCAUGCGAGCCUGAAACAGUUCCUGUCCUCUUCCUAGUUCUCCCUCAUACUACUCAAGUUCCAGUCUUAGUUACCCGACGGACUGAGUUAGGCAGCGGCGAGGCUACGAAUGGUACGGUCUCUUCUUUAGUUCCGGUACUUCUCCGUCGCACUUCGACGAGAACUGCUACGUCACCUCUGACAAUUUUAACGAUUUCGAUGGACCUACCGACUACCGUGUGUAACCGGGCCAUGGACCUAAGUUGGGAGACGCCUCGUAUGAGCCCCUCUGGUACGACCUUAGUAAGUCCACUACGAGUUUGGAGGAUCACUACUAGGGAACAUACCGCCGCUACCACUUCUUCCAUCUGGGGAACUGAAGUGACUGUAGCUGUAGGCAGACGGUUACAACCAGAUACACAGGGCUCUUUUCGCGGGUCCGAUACUGGUGUUGUUCUUCCGACCACGCUACUUACGAGACCAGGCAAGUAGACGACAGUACAGUUUACCUGGAAAGUAGGAGUUGGACCUAACACUAGUAAUACAAAUGUUGAGGGUUCGAAAGGCACUUCCGUACACGAAGUACUACCUGGCACCACCACUGGCAUAACGGAUACAGGUCAAGGGGGUUGCCAAACUCCCGUAACUAGGUAGUCUAGCGAUACGGUUGGUGUUGUGACAGAAGAAACUACAGUUGUACGCACGUAACCUACCAGAGUACCCUGGUCAGAUACAGCCGUGACCGACAGACAAGGCGGCACAACGUGAGAUACCUAAACUGGGAGGUGCGAGGUGUCUUGUACCACCGACGACGUCGACAACGAAGGGCUUCUUCGCGUUCUAGUUCUCGUGACAAAGGAGUCCAUGUAGACUUCUCUGUGCCCGAGACGCGUACCGUCUAAAACUACUACUCCUCUACUUGUACAGUUGUAAAGGGUUCUCCAAGCCAUUGAGUUUGAAGGAGUAGUUGAGAUAGGGCUAACGGCUCAAGGUUCCCGCGGGCGAACGACUAGUGGGACCACAGUUCUUACCGGCAGGAGGACCACGAGAGUGACAGGGGGCACUGGAAGAGCUGCGGAGGUGCCAGCGGCUCCGAUAGUCACAGUAGAGUACGACCAUACUUCUGUUCUGUCUCACCCCAGUCGCACAGCCUACCUAAAUACCGAGUCAGUGUCUCCUACAACAGUGUCCCAUGGCCUACGUGUUGGCACCCACCUUCAGUCAGAUGACACAGUGGUUCCCACUGCGGAAGGCGCCGUGACGUGGGUAGUUGGACUGACUGGCAGAGGUGGUCCACGAGGCCACCCGGUGGCCGAGUCACCUCUAGAAGAAGAGGGCGUUGUUGCGCGACGAGCGCUCGGCCUCCUACUUCACAGAAGUCUCCUAGCGCAUGGACUUGCACCCGUAGAUGGGCAAGUGCAGGUAGAAGGAGUAGCACAUGACGAAGGACGGCCGCGACAGCGAGAAGAGCCCCGUCAAGUAGCAGUUCCUCGACCUGCACUGGAAGGAGUGGAUGGACGACCACUAGUGGGACUGCGACACGUACGACCGCCACGACCUCUAGUUCACCAGCCCGUAGUUGGACCUCCUCACCACCUCCUUGCUCGUCAAGACCGAGUAGCCGCCGUGGUCGCGGGUGGAGCGGCGGCACGACGUCCCGGAGGAGUUCCAGUAGCGGCCGUAGCUCUAGAGGAAGUGCGAGUGGAGGUUCAGCCCGCGCCUGCUGCUCUUGCUGCUCAUGCGGCUGGAGAUGUAGCAGUUCACCUGGAGCGAGUACUAGGGCGGGUAGCAGUAGUACUACCAGUUGGAGUAGCGGUAGCGGCAGCCGAAGUCGGCGUGGUAGAUGUCGCUCUAGGGCGUCACCUCGUUCGAGGACCCGCCGCAGAAGAAGUCGAAGACCCACGACCGAGUGGACAUGGGCAAGCGGUUCCCGGAGUACCCCGCGGCGCCGGCGUGCGGCUGGUAGCAGAAGCAGACCAGGCCGGAGGAGCGGUAGUGGUAGAGCGACGACACCCACCGGUAGUUGGGCGGCAGCGUCUUGAGCGUCUAGCCUCCGAGGAAGGUCAAGGGGACUAGCAUGGGUAUAUAGUAUAUACUCAAUGUAUGGUAAACAAGGUCGUCGUCGUCGCCGCCGAUCGACCACCCCUCAUUUCAUUUAAGACUGGCAAGGGACACCAAUAUAAUUAAUCCACAAAAAAAGCACAACGACCUUUUACAACCUAGUAUGAUCAUCAAGUAAACAAGAAAACUAAGACAAGGACUCUACAAACCUGGACCUGUUGUAGUUCAUGUUUUUAAGUCUU